UGGGGGAUAUUGCACAAUGGGGGAAACCCUGAUGCAGCGACGCCGCGUGUAGGAAGACGGUCCUCUGGAUUGUAAACUACUGUCUUCGGGGACGAUAAUGACGGUACCCGAGGAGGAAGCUCCGGCUAACUACGUGCCAGCAGCCGCGGUAAUACGUAGGGAGCGAGCGUUGUCCGGAUUUAUUGGGUUUAAAGGGUGCGUAGGCGGCACCGUAAGUUAGUGGUUAAAUCGUUCGGCUCAACCGGAUGUUGCCAUUAAAACUGCGGAGCUAGAGUACAGAUGAGGUAGGCGGAAUAAGUUAAGUAGCGGUGAAAUGCAUAGAUAUAACACAGAACACCUAUUGCGAAGGCAGCUGACAAAACCAUUAUUGACGCUGAGGCACGAAAGUGUGGGGAUCAAACA
rnacentral:rRNA from 1 species